CUUGAACAUGACGUUGCGGGUCUUUUUUUCGUCUCAGUCUUCAAAUAAAAUAUCUCAUACAACAAACCAGGCCCACUAGCCUAUAUUUCCUUUAACAGAUCUGCAUGACUUUUCUUUGAACCAAAAGUCCACAUUCCUCAAGUCCUUUUAUUAUUAUUAAUGGUCGUAAAACACAAUACAAAUUGCACUGUACGCACUUUUCCUUUCUGAUCUCUAUUUAGUGGUGGUGGUGGUUCUUUUCUUCUCUGUCGGUUGCCCCUGCUUCCGUCUUCUCCGGUUCGCGACUCAAAGGCACAACGAACAGGUUUUCACGGCGGUUUUUCUUCUCUGAUGAUAUAACGCAACUGAUUGUGACAAAAAGACGGUUGAACGUUGUCUCGGGCUGGUCCAUGGGUGAGAGCUGGGGUUUAGGAUUUCUUCAUUGUUCUAGACCUUUUGCAAGCUAAUAAAGCCUUAAUUAAUAAGCUCAUAGAGUGGGUAUGCCUGCAAUUACCAAGUGAAGUCGAGAAAGUAGCGAUGAAGUCCCUUGCAAGAAACACGAGUGAAACUCUUUCAUAUUGUGUUCGGGUUAGUCCUUAUGACUUCCAAUUUAAAUACACUUUCUACAUGUAGAAAUUUGUUUAGUUGUUUCUAUGAUCGGCUUUAUAUUGUUAGAGAUUUGUUUACUUCUAGAAUUAUGCAAUAAAGUGAUGGUUAGUAUAGUCA